CAGGCGGGUGGCGCGGGGCCGCUGCGCCGCGUGGCCUGGGACGCCGCGCUGGAUACCGUGGCCCGGGGUUUUCGGCGCCUCGUCGACCGGC
rnacentral:tRNA from 1 species